UCUUUGUUCUAUGUCAAUAAUAAUUACCUCUUUGUUCUCUUUUCAAAAGAGUAUUGCAAGUGCCACUAACUUUGUUUGUACAGUAUCACCUUCUCUGCUAAACUUUAUUAUGUUGGUUCUUCUUCAGUCUUUGUUGGUUAUUGUGAAUAAAUUGCCUGUUAAUUUCAAGGGUUCCCUUUGUCCCGUUUCUUAUCUCCAAUGAGGUUCCUUAUUUGAUGGAACUUUUCAGGUCAAUGUUAUUAAUGGAAUGCGCCAGAUACACCACAAACUUCUUAUAUGCAAGUUACUAAGAAGGCUAGGCAUAAUGAUAUGUUUAUGAAAAACCAGAGAGAGAGGUGUGAUUGAUAUUUGAUUGUUUGUUGAACUCAUUGUCCUUACUGGGGGUACUCUGUUUUUGUUAUGUUUAGUUGCGUUGUCUUUGUUUGUUUUCUUGAAAUAUCAGGUAUGGGAGUUUCUUCAAGUUCCAUAUAUUGUUGUCUCCUACUAUGGUUUCAAUGGAUCCAGAUCUCAUUAGAUACAUUUUAAUGAAGGAACCAAAAGGUCUUGGUCCCUGGGUACCCAAAAUGCAUGCUUGAUAGUUUGGAAAAAUGCAACAUUGCAGCAAGCCAGCAACUCAUGGCUCCACUCACAAGUCACGAGUACAUGAGAGUGGCAUUGUUUGCACUCUCUAGCCCCACUAUGAUCAGAUACCACAUUUUUCAUAAAAAUUGAUGACUUCAUGAGAUCGCACCUCAGUAGUUGGGAUAGCAAAAUCAUUAACAUUCAAGAUAAAACCAAAUAGAUGGCUUAACUAAACAUUGAAGCAGCUUGGUGUCAUUGGAUCCAUGCCAAUCUCUUGAAUGAGUAGAAGAUACGUAGUUGAAUUUAGAUUUUAUGGUUUUUCUUUAUUUUUGUUGUUGAUUGUUAGGGAGGUUCGCAAAUGCUAAAGUCAAGGCUUCCUGGAUUGAUCUAUUAUAAAAUGACUGGGUGCAUAUUCCUUAUUCUAUUUUGAUUUUAAUGAGUUAAUCUCUUGCUUUUUGUGUUA